rnacentral:misc_RNA from 1 species
CACCUGCUGUCUACCUGAUUUGAGGUCAAAGUUUGAAGAUAUACGUGGUGGACGUUACCGCCGCAAGCAAUGUUUUUGGUUAGACCUAAGCCAUUUGUCAAAGCGAUCCCGCCUUACCACUACCGUCUUUCAAGCAAACCCAAGUCGUAUUGCUCAACACCAAACCCAGCGGUUUGAGGGAGAAACGACGCUCAAACAGGCAUGCCCUCCGGAAUACCAGAGGGCGCAAUGUGCGUUCAAAGAUUCGAUGAUUCACGAAUAUCUGCAAUUCAUAUUACGUAUCGCAUUUCGCUGCGUUCUUCAUCGAUGCGAGAACCAAGAGAUCCGUUGUUGAAAGUUUUGACUAUUUAGUAAUAAUCUGGUGUGACAAGUUAAUAAAAAAUUGGUUGUAAGUUUAGACCUCUGGCGGCAGGCUGGGCCCACCGCCAAAGCAAGUUUGUUUCAAAGAAAAACACAUGUGGUGCAAUUAAGCAAAUCAGUAAUGAUCCUUCCGCAG